rnacentral:rRNA from 1 species
AGAGUUUGAAUCCUGGCUCAGGAUGAACGCUGGCGGCGUGCCUAACACAUGCAAGUCGAACGGGAGCUUCGGCUCCAGUGGCGGACGGGUGAGUAACGCGUGAGAAUCUACCUUCAGGAUGGGGACAACCGUUGGAAACGACGGCUAAUUCCCAAUGUGCCGAGAGGUGAAAGGUUUCGACCGCCUGAAGAGGAGCUCGCGUCCGAUUAGUUUGUUGGUGGGGUAAGAGCUCACCAAGGCAGCGAUCGGUAGCUGGUCUGAGAGGAUGAGCAGCCACACUGGGACUGAGACACGGCCCAGACUCCUACGGGAGGCAGCAGUGGGGAAUUUUCCGCAAUGGGCGAAAGCCUGACGGAGCAACGCCGCGUGUGGGAAGAAGGCUCUUGGGCUGUCAACCACUUUUCUCAGGGAAGAAGUUCUGACGGUACCUGAGGAAUCAGCCUCGGCUAACUCCGUGCCAGCAGCCGCGGUAAUACGGAGGAGGCAAGCGUUAUCCGGAAUUAUUGGGCGUAAAGCGUCCGCAGGGGGCUCAUCAAGUCUGCUGUUAAAGGUCGGAGCUUAACUCCGAUACAGCAGUGGAAACUGAUGGGCUAGAGGGCGACAGGGGGUAGAGGGAAUUC